AUCGGUUGACAACAGAUGUGACUUCUUGGGGAGGAAGAGGAAGUAAAUUUGCUAAGGGAAUCCUACAUCUUCGCAUAUGGAGCAAGAAGCAGAGGUCCAGACACUGAGGUCAUCCUUCCUACUUACCCACCCUGGCCUGCAGAGACGCGCCAAAGCCUGAACAUUCUGCCUCGUGGCCCUGAAUGAUAGCGAUAACGAGAACUAGAGCAUCAUGGGAGAAGCAGAGCAUCAUGGGAGAGGGUCAAGUCAGAGUCUGUGGCUAUUAAAUCAGUUCCUGAC
rnacentral:lncRNA from 1 species